AUUGAACGCUGGCGGCAGGCCUAACACAUGCAAGUCGAGCGGAUGAAGGGAGCUUGCUCCUGGAUUCAGCGGCGGGCGGGUGAGUAAUGCCUAGGAAUCUGCCUGGUAGUGGGGGACAACGUUUCGAAAGGAACGCUAAUACCGCAUACGUCCUACGGGAGAAAGCAGGGGACCUUCGGGCCUUGCGCUAUCAGAUGAGCCUAGGUCGGAUUAGCUAGUUGGUGAGGUAAUGGCUCACCAAGGCGACGAUCCGUAACUGGUCUGAGAGGAUGAUCAGUCACACUGGAACUGAGACACGGUCCAGACUCCUACGGGAGGCAGCAGUGGGGAAUAUAGGACAAUGGGCGAAAGCCUGAUCCAGCCAUGCCGCGUGUGUGAAGAAGGUCUUCGGAUUGUAAAGCACUUUAAGUUGGGAGGAAGGGUUGUAGAUUAAUACUCUGCAAUUUUGACGUUACCGACAGAAUAAGCACCGGCUAACUCUGUGCCAGCCGCCGCAGUAACAC
rnacentral:rRNA from 1 species